ACUGACUGGCAUUGAUCUGCAAGCCGGAUAGAAGGCCUUCACAGGCAACAGGGGGCCGUGGGGGUGGGGAGGAGGCCGCUCUCAUCAGCAAUGGCCUUAGAUCAGAUCGAUAAACUAUUAAUAACUGCAGCGUUUGCGCACAGAUAGGGGCAAUGCGGUUUAGUGGCUGGAGUUUACCAACACUGACGGCGUCUCUGAAGGGCGAGUAAUUGUGUUUUUGAAAAGCUGGGAACAGGAGCAGCAGAAACGUUGCCUUUGCCUGUUGGCCUGAGCCUCAUCCAGGUGAGAAAACUGAGGCACACAGACAAGAUGUAGCAUGACCCUCAUCAUGAUGUGAGCAGGUUUCAGGGCGUCCGGGGCAUCACCUGUCAGCCCCUCUGCUCAUCGUUCCUGUUCUGGCUUUGAUUUGCCCUGGGGAAGAGAGCCUCAGCUUCUUCCGGAAACUGGGCAGUGGAUUUAGGAACCUGACCAGGGAAAGGAUGCAGGGUUCGACCCUGUGGCCUUGCUGGGGAACGGGGAAAGCCAGCG
rnacentral:lncRNA from 1 species